rnacentral:ncRNA from 1 species
AUAAAGACUAUGAAGAGAAGAGUAGAUAAAUUAAUUGUUGUACAGAGAGCUCCAGUAGGUGAGAGGGAGUGAAUGAAUUAUUUAUCGAAAAAAGACUCUGAGUUUCAGGUGGAUUUUAACUUGCUAGUUAAAAGUAUACUUUGACAGGAGCUCCUGUUAUAGAGCUAGGGUAUAAUCACAGAAAUUGUGACGUACUUGAAGAGGUUAAUAUGGUGACGUAUUAACAAACUGGGGUGGUACCGCGAAGUUAAUUACUCUCGUCCCCAAG